rnacentral:piRNA from 1 species
GCUGGAAUCAGAACAGAUGUUAGGG